rnacentral:lncRNA from 10 species
AUGACUCUUAACGAGCAUGCUGCCUUCAAGCAUCGGUUUAACAAAGCACAUCUUGCACCGCCCUUAAUCCAUUUAACCCUGAGUGGACACAGCACAUGUUUCAGAGAGCACAGGGUUGGGGAUAAGGUCACAGAUCAACAGGAUCCCAAGGCAGAAGAAUUUUUCUUAGUACAGAACAAAAUGAAAAGUCUCCCAUGUCUACUUCUAUCCACACAGACCCGGCACCCAUCCGAUUUCUCAAUUUUUUCCCCACCCUUCCCGCCUUUCUAUUCCACAAAACCGCCAUUGUCACCAUGGCCCAUCUCCAAUGAGCCGCUGGGCACACCUCCCAGACGGGGUCGUGGCCGGGCAGAGGGGCUCCUCACUUCCCAGUAG